rnacentral:lncRNA from 1 species
CUCAAGUCCUGUGGGGUGCUGGGCUAAAGGUGUUCCAUAUACAUGAACCAUAAACUGGAAUUGAAAUUAUUCUCCGCACGCACAAGUAAAACCUAUGCAAAGUGAACAAUCUCACAGUUGCAGCUUAUAUUCAGUACUUCUUCAUUACAACUGUCGGUUUCAAAGCAUUUUCUUUCUCUAAUUCUGCAAUUUUAUAAACUGCAACUCAGUUUUGCCCACAAAUGUUUUGCUCCUCAUAAAACUAAUUUUCUACUAACUGAUUUUCGUAUUUCCAUUAUAGUUUAUUCAUUACCAUGGUCAAGGAAUUAUCAGCGUUUUUUCUGACUUGGUCAACUUACCCUUGCAGUAAUCUGCCAUAAAAGACAGAAUGUAAGAAAGGGUCUACUUUAGCAGUUGAGAUCGAGAUGCUACUCCAAUCUAUAUAUGAAACCAAAUCAGGUGGGCUCGAUGACAAAGAGGUAAUAAGAGAUGAACUCUUCCAGUAUAAAAAGUUGAUGGUCCUAAUUAGUUUAUAGCUUAUUUCUUGAUCACUUUAAUUUACACGACAUCUCCAGGGCUUUUCGUGUUCUGUGGUAAUAUAUUUGAUUAUAGUCACAGCUUACGCAAGAUGAUUAUUUACGUUCCUAAUUUAUCUUCCUCUAUCAUGGUGGUAGGGAAACAUCGCCGUUAGUUUGCCUGAGAUAGAAGGGCUUCACAUAAUUUUGUCAAUAGCAUUGAUCAGGAUAUCUU